AUGUUUGGAGCCCUUGAAGUCCUAAAGAUGAAUAAGGAGGGUGUCCUCAAAUUUCUUGGUACAGAAACCCACUUAGGUAGCACCAACCUUGACUUUCAUAUGGAAUAGUAAUUUUACUAAAAGAAAAGUGAUCUAUGUCUUAAUCUGAAGAGGACCUGGGAGAAGCUGUUGCUUGCAUGCAGGUCCUGCUAUUGUCCUUGAUAAUCCUGCUGAUGUCAUUUCCAGAAACACUGGCCAGCCAGUGAGCUGUGCUGAAGCUUUCUGCUGCCACAGGAGUCACUUUCAUUGCUGGUCUCUUCAUACCUGGAACCCUCACUAACCAGAUCCAAGCAGCCUUCAGGGAGCCACAGCUUCUAGUGGGGACUGAUCCCAGGAUUAACCACCUCUUAUGUCAACCUGCUCACCUUGCUCUAUGUAACACAGAUUCUCUCCUACGCACCAUGUGAGCAUUGCCAUCUCGUGCAGCAACAAGGGAGCUCACUCAGUGGGUCUGAUGUGGUGGAUCUUGGUCCAGAAGUACUCUGCAUUAGAGGUACUAUCUCCCGUGACCACCCAUGGGAGGCUAUGCCUGAUCUUUACUUUUACAGAGACCCAGAGGAAGUUGAGAAGGCUGCUGCUGAAAAGGCUGUGGUGAAGGGUGAAUGGAUGGACCAGCUCCUGAGUUCACUGCUGCUCAGCCUGACAUGGCUGACUGGUUUGAGAGUGUGCAGGUACCUUCUGUGCCUAUCUAGCAGCCCCACCCCCAUGGAAAACUAGAGUUCCCUGCCAACCACUGAGGACAGGUCAGCAGCUUCCACAGCUCGGGCCACUGAGUGGGUUCGAGCCACCACUGGGUGGUCCUGA
rnacentral:lncRNA from 1 species